rnacentral:tRNA from 1 species
AUUAAUAUGGCAGAUUAAUGCAUUGAACUUAAACUUCAUAUAUAAAGAAUCCAUCAUCUUUUAUUAAUA